rnacentral:rRNA from 1 species
UACAGAGGUCUCAAGCGUUGUUCGGAUUCAUUGGGCGUAAAGGCGCGUAGGCGGCGGGUCAGUCGGGUGUGAAAUCUUGGGGCUUAACCCCGAAACGGCACUCGAAACUGCCCGGCUGGAGGCCGGAGAGGAGAUCGGAAUUCACGGUGUAGCAGUGAAAUGCGUAGAGAUCGUGAGGAAGACCCGUGGCGAAGCGGAUCUCUGGACGGCUAACUGACGCUGAGGCGCGAAGGCCAGGGGAGCAAACGGG